rnacentral:rRNA from 1 species
GAUGAACGCUAGCGGCGGGCUUAACACAUGCAAGCCGAACGGCAAGUCUCUGAUCAUUUUUGGUCCUAGAGUGGCGCACGGGUGCGUAACACGUAUGUAACCUGCCCGCGACAUUAGGAUAACUUCCCGAAAGUGGAACUAACCCCCCAUAACACCACCUGCAGCCAUCUGGUUAUGGUUAAAUCUCAACGGGUCGCGAUUGAGCCGCCGGUUGUCUAGCUAGUUGGCGGGGUAAAGGCCGACCAGGCCGGUGAUCAAUAGGGGUUCUGAGGGGAAGGUCCCCAACACUGGAACUGAGAUACGGGGCAGACUCCUACGGGAGGCAGCAGUAGGGAAUAUUGGACAAGGGUUGCAAGACUGAUGCAGCCAUGCCGCGUGCAGGAAGAAGGCCUUCGGGGUCGUAAACUGCUUUUUGCUGUGGAUAAAAUACCCGGGCGCGGGGAAUUGAAGGUAACAGGGGAAUAAGCCACGGCUAACUACGUG